AUGCGUUCAAUGCGUGCCCAUACACCAGCCAUGUUGAGAUCGUCGCCGCGGCUUAUUACACACAACACUCACGCCCUAAGCCGCGACUCAGAGCAGGCCGCCGCCCUCGACGUCGCCGUCGACCAGCAGCGCACGCUCCCUUGCCGGCUCCUUGCGCAGCUGAGGGCAAUCGCGUUUGAAGUGGCUGCGCUCGUCGCACUUGUAGCAGCAGCCACGCCGGUUGCCGCCGAAGCCCGACGCCUAGCUCCGCACGCCGUCGUCGUCCCUCGCGCCGCCCUGCUGCCUAUCCCGAGCUCGCCAUUACGCCGCCGUGUACAUGAAUGCGCUGUUCACCCGCUCGUCGCCCGCCUCCCCUCGCCGCCGCAACCGCUUGUCGAACGCCUUCAGCCUCCUGAGCGGUUCCUUGAACGGCAUCAUCGUGACAUCGCAGAACUGCUCAGUCCCGGCCACGGCCGCGUACAGGCGAUCCGGCACCGAAUCAAGCAGUUUCUUCACGAGCGCGGCGUCCUCCAGCGUCGAGCCCUGCCCCGCGAACCACGCCGUCAUCGCUCCGAGCUUGCCAGCGAAGCCAGCCAACGUGUCGCCGUCCGCCAUGCGCAAGAGCUCAAACUCCCCUCGGAGCGUGCCCAGUCGCGCCGUCCGCGCGCGAUCCGCGCCGAUGAACAUGGCCUUGAGGCUCGCCCAUACCUACGCCGCCGUCUUCUUCGACGACAACUGCAGCAGUAG
rnacentral:rRNA from 1 species